GAUGCAAUCAGUGUCUCCAGCUGGGAAUGGUGCCAUCAGGUGCUGCCAAUUCACCAAUUGCACGGGGAUAAGAGCCCACCCCCAAGGGCAUCUCCAGUGAGGUGAGGCUGUUGCUGUGAGGAGGAUGUGGCUUCACCCUUGGGGCUGAGCAUCAACCCAUUACCAUCAGAGUAUCACAGAGUCAAGAUGUUUCAUCAGUUCACUUCAGCCCCAGCAAGAUAGAGUGACAUCAAAAGAAGAAUAAAACCAAUUUGAGAAUAGGGGGGCUAGAGAACUGUGUAAUUUAGUUCUGCCAGAAAGCGUGUCCCUCUUUCCUACCUGCUCAUCAGCCAGCCCCAAUCACUCCACCAGAAGCAGAAUGAGACCAUGUGAAUACAAUCCAGUAUGGUGCACCACAUCUAAUGCCAUAGAAAAUUAGGAACAAAUAACACACACAGGUGUACCCUCAAUUUUCUAUCUAUCUGAGAAUCAGAAAAGCUAUUGAGACUUGAGAAUUCAGGGCAAAAAUCACCUCUGCAGGGAUCAAAGAAUCAUUUACAUUGGAAAAGACCUUUAAGAUUGGAGUCCAACCAUAAGGAAGGUAGAGUGUGUUAUGUAGGGCCUGCAAGGAAUUCUACCUGCUAUAGAAUGUCCUUUGCCUCCAGCAGAAAGGGUCACCAAACCAUCCGCUUAUGUUACUACAGGGAUUAGUCUCAGCUAUCAACAAUGGAGAAAGCCACCAAAUUUUCCACUCUAGAGUUCAGUUGCCCUAAUGGCAUGCACAGCUUGGGCAGAGGUACAGUAACUGGUAUCACAGGC